CAUAAACAAUAGUGUAAAACUUAUAUAGGUCCAUAAUUGGUUGGACGUCUCUACCAACUACCGUAAUAGUUGCCUAUAAGUGUUACUGUUUACUUU
rnacentral:ncRNA from 2 species